UGCCAGCCGCCGCGGUAAUACGGAGGGUGCAAGCGUUAAUCGGAAUUACUGGGCGUAAAGCGCGCGUAGGCGGGUAAUUAAGUCGGAUGUGAAAGCCCAGGGCUCAACCUUGGAACUGCAUACGAUACUGGUUACCUAGAGUACAGUAGAGGGGGGUGGAAUUUCAGGUGUAGCGGUGAAAUGCGUAGAGAUCUGAAGGAACAUCAGUGGCGAAGGCGACCCCCUGGACUGAUACUGACGCUGAGGUGCGAAAGCGUGGGUAGCGAACAGGAUUAGAUA
rnacentral:rRNA from 1 species